rnacentral:lncRNA from 1 species
UGAUUAGGAUUUGGUUUAGGAUUUAGUAUUUAGUUUAGGAUUUAGGAUUUGAUUUAGGAUUUAGAAUUUGAUUAGGGUUUGAUUAAGGAUUUAGGAUUUGAUUAGGAUUUGAUUAAGAUUAGGGUUUGGUGAGGGUUUGGUUUAGGAUUUAAGAUUUAGGAUUUGGUUAGAAUUUUAUUUAAGAUUUAGAGUUUGGUUAGAGUUUGGUUUAGGAUUUAGAAUUUGAUUAGAAUUUGGUUAAGGAUUUAGGAUUUGGUUAAGGUUUGAUUUAGGAUUAAGGUUUGGUUAGGAGUUGAUUUAGGGUUUAGGAUUUGAUUAGGAUUUGAUUUAGGAUUUAAGAUUUUAAUAGGAUUUUUGAGGUAA